ensembl:lncRNA
AUGACAGUGUUUGGUUUGUUUUAUUUCCAAGACGGCUCCGUUAGAGCAGAUAAUACAUCCGUCAUACGUGAUGCAUACAGAAAUAAAAAAAUAACGGUUAACUGCAGGGAAGACCUCGAGUCGGAGCAGGGCUGGAUAGAGGUAAUUUGGCCUACACAACGGCGACAACAAGAGGCGAAGCCUAUUGCAGCCAAAUUGCUUUUCUUUGGAGACACGGUGAGGGAGAAAUUCCCCAACACCAUGGUUAGUGAGAUCCGGGCCCUGCUGCGGAGGAAAUGCAAUAAUGAGGGCUACACCAAGGUUGCUCCUCAGUAGCUUUAUUAUAUAUGUUAUAUAUGUCAGAUGUUUUAAAGUUAGGUGUUAUUGAAUGUAUGUUUGUAUUAAUAUUUAAAUUAAAGUUUUGGUUUGUACAAUUUAAGUGUUUUUUGUCAUGGAACAAAAUAGCACCCAUGGAGUGUACUAAAAUGGUACCAGAAAGAAGUGCAUGUGAAGUAUAAUAUGUAUUGUAAGUAUAUUUCUGUAGUAUUUAUAAAGUACUUAGUAGUAUAACAGUAUUGUACUUAAAAUACCCUUAAUAUACGCUUCCACUUUACAUUAUAGUAUAAUAACUAUACUUUAAGUACAUGCCUUUGAUGCUUAAAUUGUGACACAAAUUGACUAUAAAUACAUAAUAAAUGCAUUUUUAGUUACAUAAUUGCACACUUUAAAAGUACUAAAUAUAGUCAGAAAGUGUACUUGAAUUUAAUUAGAAAUAUGACAGAGGAAUGAUAAUAGUCUGUUAAAAAUACACUUCUAUUAUGUAGUAUAAGCAGUGAUAAAAUACACUCAAUAUACACUUCUGCUCCUCUUUAGAGUAUAAUAACAUUGUACUUAAAGUGCAUGCCUUUGAUGCUGCAAUUGUGAUAGAAAUGUACUAUAAAUACAUUUUAAUUAACAUAAUGGCAGACUUAAAAAGUACUAAAUAUAGUCAGAAAGUGUAUUUGAAUUUAAUUUGAAAUAUGACAGAAGUAUGAUAAUAGUGUGUUCAAAAUAUACUUAUAUACUACUAUCAAUUGAACCAUACUGCCUUUUUAAGUAUAUUUCAAACACACUGGUAAUAUAAUGCUAUUGUACUGCAAGAGUGUUUCAAAUGCUAGAAAUCAUACUUUUCACUAGUGUACUUCAGUACACUUAAAGGUUGUCAAAAGUUGUGCAAUUUUAGCAUACUAUUUACACUUGGAGUAUACUGGAGUAUAUCUAUAGUAGUACUUAAGGUAUACCUUAGUACACUUUGGUAUACUUGAAUGCGACGAAAUUAGUACAGAAUACAGUUACAUACUAAAAGUGGACUUAGUACAUCCUUUCAAAAGUGUCGUUGAAGUAUAAUAUUUUUUCACCUGGGGUGUGUGUGUGUGUGUGUGUCUGUGUGUGUGUGUGUGUGUGUGUGUGUGUGUGUGUGUGUGUGUGUGUGCGUGUGUGUGUGUGUAUGUGUGUGUGUGUGUAUGUGAGUGUGUGUGCGUGCGUUCUGUAAUUUAGGUAUUUGGUUGGUUGUA